AAUAAGAUACCCGGGUAGUCCACGCCGUAAACGAUGAGUGCUAAGUGUUAGAGGGUUUCCGCCCUUUAGUGCUGCAGCUAACGCAUUAAGCACUCCGCCUGGGGAGUACGGCCGCAAGGCUGAAACUCAAAGGAAUUGACGGGGGCCCGCACAAGCGGUGGAGCAUGUGGUUUAAUUCGAAGCAACGCGAAGAACCUUACCAGGUCUUGACAUCCUCUGCCAACCCUAGAGAUAGGGCGUUCCCCUUCGGGGGACAGAGUGACAGGUGGUGCAUGGUUGUCGUCAGCUCGUGUCGUGAGAUGUUGGGUUAAGUCCCGCAACGAGCGCAACCCUUGAUCUUAGUUGCCAGCAUUCAGUUGGGCACUCUAAGGUGACUGCCGGUGACAAACCGGAGGAAGGUGGGGAUGACGUCAAAUCAUCAUGCCCCUUAUGACCUGGGCUACACACGUGCUACAAUGGAUGGUACAAAGAGCUGCGAACCCGCGAGGGUAAGCGAAUCUCAUAAAGCCAUUCUCAGUUCGGAUUGUAGG
rnacentral:rRNA from 1 species